rnacentral:lncRNA from 1 species
CUAUUAGUUAUGGUGGUGGGUGCUUAGAGACACCGAAGCAAUCAUUUAUAAGAUGACAGAAACCCUCCUCGUUCUGAGGUGUGGGUUUUGCCAUCUAAAAUUACCCAGAUGAAACAGAUGUUGCAAAUGUGAGCCCUUAUUAGAAUGUUUUCUUUUCAUUACCCAGCAGAAGGCUGUGUCCCACGCACCGCGAUCGCACACAGAGGAAAUCUGGGACUGGCUCAGCCACCUGUGUCUCCGUCUUCGGCUACCCAAGGAGAUCUGGUUUGAGUCACAGACACAACACAAAAAGCCAGAGCAGAAGCAGCCCACGGAGACCCAAGAAUGGAACCGCCAGGCCUCCUUUACAAUGGCCUUUCUAUCUGCAUAAACCAGCACCCCUCACACUACAGGUCAACAGCACCCCUCAGUGUUCUGCCUCCUUCCUCCGGGUCUGAGUCUGACCUGACCAGCCUGGACCAGGACCAGCAAAGAGGGAGUGUGAUGAAUCCUGCCUCAAGAUGUGCACAGGAUGGCACUGGCACCUCCACAUGUGACAAUGCUCUGGAUCCCCAGAGAAAGAGAGCCAAAGACAGCAGACCUGGGAACACAACUCUGGCACCUGCCCCGCCUUCUUUCUCCACUCUGUGA